rnacentral:rRNA from 1 species
GUGGGGAAUCUUCCGCAAUGGACGAAAGUCUGACGGAGCAACGCCGCGUGAGUGAAGAAGGUUUUCGGAUCGUAAAGCUCUUUCGUUAGGGACGAACGUGCUCUUUGUGAAUAAUGAGGAGUAAUGACGGUACCUAAAUAAGAAGCCACGGCUAACUACGUGCCAGCAGCCGCGGUAAUACGUAGGUGGCAAGCUUUGUCCGGAAUUAUUGGGCGUAAAGCGCGCGCAGGCGGGAUAUCAAGUCUGUCUUAAAAGUGCGAGGCUCAACCUCGUGAGGGGACAGAAACUGGUAUUCUUGAGUGUCGGAGAGGAAAGUGGAAUUCCAAGUGUAGCGGUGAAAUGCGUAGAGAUUUGGAAGAACACCAGUGGCGAAGGCGACUUUCUGGACGAUGUCUGACGCUGAGGCGCGAAAGCUAGGGGAGCGAACGGGAUUAGAUACCCGAGUAGUCC